GGCAGCAUAGUGUAGUGGUUUGAAUGUUGGAUUACUACUCUGGAGAUCAGGGUUCAAAUCCCCGCUCAGCCA